CCGCUUCCCUUUCAUUUCAAUCGGGGACCUUUGGGCGGUACGAAGGUGGCGAGAGAGGCGGUGAAAAAGUUUAACUUUUUACAACGGCGACCGCUGGGCGAUGACCAAUCAUAUCGAGUGGUUCCCAUGACGAAUUUGACGCUAUACGACCCAAGGCUGGAGACUUUCUUCAACAAAGAUGGCUGACAAAAAUACUAGGAUGGAAGCAAAUAGACUCCUGAAACAACCAGCAAACCAGGCUGUCGUCUUGUGAAACAGUGGAUGUAAAGAAUCUAACUAGCUAAAGCAUUUACUGCAAAUUUAAUGUACAAUUUUGUAAGCUUGCCUUGCUAUUUGCCGAGGAUAAAAAAAUACCUGCAUGCCUAUGGAUGUGUAGCUAGCCAUCUAGCCGAUCUGUGUAUGGACCCAAACGUUUGGUAUACAUAUUAGUUCAGAACCGAAUUAUAUAUUUUUUUAACUAGGCAAGUCCGUUAAGAAAAAAAUAUUAUUUACAAUGAGGGCCUACCCCUGCGACGCUGGGCCGCCCUAUGGGACUUCCAAUCAAGGCCAGAUGUGAUGGAUUCGAACCAGGUUCUGCGGUGACGCCUCUUGCACUGGGAUGCAGUGUCUUAGACCACUGCGCCACUCAGGAGCCUAUCAUAGCCAGUUGUAUCAACUUCAAAACAGUCUGGAUGACAUUAAUGACGCCUAUGGAUUGAGUAGAAUAUAAUAACUUUGUGCCAAGGAUGCAAGUUGUAUAUACAUGUAGUUAUUACCAUGCAUGAGAUCCCCACAUUGUAGCCUGUAAAUUUAAUAUAGUCACUGAUCAUGUACUCUACCUUGGCAAAUAAAGGUGCAGUUCAGGUAUGAAUGUCUUUUGAGAUAAUCCAAUACCAGGAAUAUCACA